GAUGAACGCUGGCGGCGUGCCUAAUACAUGCAAGUCGAACGAGUUCUCGUUGAUGAUCGGUGCUUGCACCGAGAUUCAACAUAGAACGAGUGGCGGACGGGUGAGUAACACGUGGGUAACCUGCCCUUAAGUGGGGGAUAACAUUUGGAAACAGAUGCUAAUACCGCAUAGAUCCAAGAACCGCAUGGUUCUUGGCUGAAAGAUGGCGUAAGCUAUCGCUUUUGGAUGGACCCGCGGCGUAUUAGCUAGUUGGUGAGGUAAUGGCUCACCAAGGCGAUGAUACGUAGCCGAACUGAGAGGUUGAUCGGCCACAUUGGGACUGAGACACGGCCCAAACUCCUACGGGAGGCAGCAGUAGGGAAUCUUCCACAAUGGACGCAAGUCUGAUGGAGCAACGCCGCGUGAGUGAAGAAGGCUUUCGGGUCGUAAAACUCUGUUGUUGGAGAAGAAUGGUCGGCAGAGUAACUGUUGUCGGCGUGACGGUAUCCAACCAGAAAGCCACGGCUAACUACGUGCCAGCAGCCGCGGUAAUACGUAGGUGGCAAGCGUUAUCCGGAUUUAUUGGGCGUAAAGCGAGCGCAGGCGGUUUUUUAAGUCUGAUGUGAAAGCCCUCGGCUUAACCGAGGAAGCGCAUCGGAAACUGGGAAACUUGAGUGCAGAAGAGGACAGUGGAACUCCAUGUGUAGCGGUGAAAUGCGUAGAUAUAUGGAAGAACACCAGUGGCGAAGGCGGCUGUCUGGUCUGUAACUGACGCUGAGGCUCGAAAGCAUGGGUAGCGAACAGG
rnacentral:rRNA from 2 species